GCGCUGCAGGGGGGCGCUGAGGAGCGGGUGAAGCCGUCGAGGAGCCAUGUUGGGUGUGGGAACGCUGCCGGGCGGAAGCGGCGUGUUUGCACCGCGGCUGGACGGAGCUUCUAACGUUCUAAAUUCCUCUAAUUGGGGUUCUUCUCUUUGGGUUAUUUUCUACAUGGAGGACAGGGUUACACACACACCUACAGGACGCUCUCCUGCUGCGUCCUGAGGAUCAGAGCCAACCCCAUGCACUCUUCAAACCACAGAGGAUGCAGUUCUUAAUUGUGGCCCAAAUCCCUGUGGGUUUCUUCUCCUCCCACAAAGCUGCUCAUCCUGGAGGAGCACAGGCACAGACACGAGGCCACAGCAGCUCUCCCGUUGUGUCAGACGGCAGAGACAUUGGAGUGGAAGAAGGCCCUGCAGCUUCACAGGGGAAAUUGCACACAGUCAUUGACUUUCCAUCCAAAAGAUGAAGAGUUUCUUUUGCAAUGCCUAUCAUAAUUGUUUGGGUGGGUUUUUUUUUUUUUUUUUUCCCAUUAUUACUAAUGCAAAACUUGCUGAAACUAAGUUACCUUAACCAUGCAUGGAGUGUUGUAGCAAACUUCCACUCACUUUGGACUCUGAGGACUCAACUACCUUACAGCUGCCUGAUGGGCUCAGUUUAGCCACGCAAUGGCACCGUUCCUUUCCUGUUAAGCAGCUCAGGUGUAUAAACCAUCUGAUGUUGAUGCUUGCCAGUACUGCCUGCACCUGGAGACAUCGGGGGUUUUCCAGAUUCCAGGACCACAUGCCUGAAAUAAAUUUGGGUUCUCCUCUAAGCAGAGCUGUUGGACUGACUUGCUGUUUGCUAAGACUGGGAAGAAGCAGAGAUGCUGCGGCCCCAGCCCCACCUGACAUGGGUCUCUAUAGGGACGUGCUGCUGGCUUUGUUCCGGGCACUGCAGGGCUCUGUGACCAAAAAUUACCCCCAGGAGCUGUUCUACCAGCUGUGCCCACACCUCACUGGCAAACAUGGCUGAGAAGCCCCUGCACGUGGCCAGCCAGGAGCUGCUGCCCUUCUGACCACCUCACUCAGUAAAUGCUCUCUGCUUUGGUGCACAUGCUGGAAGCUAUUACUCAACAAAUAACACAAAUAUAAGAAAUAAACGCUAAACAGGACUUACUGUCACAAGGUGGCCAGACAAGAGGAGUGAGAAAAUGUGUAAGCAUUGUGCAAGUUGUGUCUGUUUCUUUGGAGGCAGAAAUGUUCAUGCUCUCCUAGUUCAAACUUGGGUGCAAUUUUACUUAAGAUCCUCUCUAGAUCUUCUGAGCCUGUUUGAGCCUUGAAGGGCAUGCACAGUCCAGCCAUGAGUAUUUCUUUACUGGGAGACCUACUGCAUUUCAAUGGGAAGGUUACUGCUGCCCUCUGCAGCUGAGGAGAGCGCAGACCUUUGUCUUUGGGCUGUGGCAUUGUUGUUUUAGUAAAUCAUGCCCUAGUCAAGGUUUGGAUGAAUUUGGCAUGUACAGAAAUUUGUGUAUGCCUACCUGUUUUCCUAUACUAGAUUGUAAACAUUUAACAAAGUAAACCUCCUCACUGUUUUAAAUUACGUCAAGCAAACUGAGCAAGCCAAUUAUGUAUUUUGGAAAUUGUCACUUAUUAAAGCAAACAAGUAAACAAAACAGCUCUGGGUGUCCAGGGAGUCUCUGCUCCAGCAAUGGUGCACGCUGCCCCCUUGCAGCCGACGGUCUGCACACAGUUCCACAUCUGGUGUGGGUGGUGCUCUCGAUAUCUCUGGUGCAUCGUGGUCCUGUUGCUGGAGUCGUCCUUUGUCUUGUCAGGUGGGGGCUGGGAUCUUUCGCAGUGCAUCCGUUUGUGAUCCUUGCACAACAUCUUUAGAGCUGUGUAAGUCCUGGGGUCCAUACAUUUAAUGGUUAUAUUUGUUCAUGUUUCAGGAGGUCUGUGGUUGGAAGCUGUGGUUACUGCAGUUUCCUAGGGAUAAGCUUGGUUAACAAACAACAGAUUGCUCCUAUUACAAUUCUCCCCUUUUCUUUUUCCCAUUUUGUUCAUCAAAUCGAUUAACCGCUUCCCGAGCCAACUCAAGGAUAGGGGUCUCACUGACCUCCUUCUCCUCUAAUUGUUCAUAUUGUCUUCUGAUCAACAUUAAAUGUGCUGCUUCAAGUCUGCUUUUUACCAGGGAGAUCAUUUUAUUAAAAAUACAGGGUCCAAAGGUUAGCACUAACAUCAACAACAUCAAAGGACCAGCUAUUGUAGAUAAUAAUGUAGUAAGCCAUGGAGAACGGUUGAACCAUGACUCAUACCAACUCUGCUGUUGUUCUCUCUCUCCUUUUUGAUUCUCCAAUCCUUCCCUUAAUUUGGUCAUGGCAUCUCUUACUACCCCAGUGUGGUCAGCAUAAAAUCAGAAUUCCUCUCCUAUGGCUGCACAGAAACCUCCUUGUUGCAAGAAUAAUACAUUGAGUCCUUGUUGAUUUUGUAACACUACUUCUGAUAGUGAUCUUAACGAUUUUUCUAGGGCUGUUAUAGACUUUUUGAUUCUUACCAAAUCCUCAUCUACAGCCGCUCGUAAUGAUUGGAACCUUUGAUUUUGUUGUACCAGAGAAGUGAUGCCUGUGCCCGCUACCGCAGCUCCUACAGCCAUUAGAGUUGCUAUAGUGAGAGCUGCAAAGGGUUCUCUUUUCUGUAAGUAGCGUUCCCUUUUUUCCUAAUGAUUAUAUAUGUGAUAUAUAUAAUUGUGAUAUAACAUCCUAGGAAUAAUGGUCACUUCAACACAAUAUUCUCAGCCUGGAACAAAUCCAUUUGGUCCCAUUUGCCAGAAUUACCCAUUCAGCUUUUGGUUCUAGGGACACUGUUACCCCAUAAAGUUUCUCCCUG